AACGAACGCUGGCGGCAGGCCUAACACAUGCAAGUCGAGCGAGGACUUCGGUCCUAGCGGCGGACGGGUGAGUAACGCGUGGGAACGUGCCCUUUGCUUCGGAAUAGCCCCGGGAAACUGGGAGUAAUACCGGAUGAGCCCUUUGGGGGAAAGAUUUAUCGGCGAAGGAUCGGCCCGCGUUGGAUUAGGUAGUUGGUGGGGUAAUGGCCUACCAAGCCGACGAUCCAUAGCUGGUUUGAGAGGAUGAUCAGCCACACUGGGACUGAGACACGGCCCAGACUCCUACGGGAGGCAGCAGUGGGGAAUCUUAGACAAUGGGGGAAACCCUGAUCGAGCCAUGCCGCGUGAGCGAUGAAGGCCUUAGGGUUGUAAAGCUCUUUCAGCUGGGAAGAUAAUGACGGUACCAGCAGAAGAAGCCCCGGCUAACUCCGUG
rnacentral:rRNA from 1 species